rnacentral:rRNA from 1 species
GACGAACGCUGGCGGCGUGCCUAAUACAUGCAAGUCGAACGCAUUUUCUUUCACCGUAGCUUGCUACACCGAAAGAAAAUGAGUGGCGAACGGGUGAGUAACACGUGGGUAACCUGCCCAUCAGCGGGGGAUAACACUUGGAAACAGGUGCUAAUACCGGAUAAUUCCAUUUACCGAAUGGUAGAUGGAUGAAAGGCGCUUUUGCGUCACUGAUGGAUGGACCCGCGGUGCAAUAGCUAGUUGGUGGGGUAACGGCCUACCAAGGCUGCGAUGCAUAGGAGACCUGAGAGGGUGAUCGGCCACGCUGGGACUGAGACACGGCCCAGACUCCGACGGGAGGCAGCAGUAGGGAAUCUUCGGAAAUGGACGCAAGUCUGACCGGGCAACGCCGCGUGAGUGAAGAAGGUUUUCGGAUCGUAAAACUCUGUUGUUAGAGAAGAACAAGGAUGAGAGUGGAAAGUUCAUCCCUUGACGGUAUCUAACCAGAAAGCCACGGCUAACUACGUGCCAGCCGCCGCAGUAACAC